rnacentral:rRNA from 1 species
CAAAGGAAUUGACGGGGGCCCGCACAAGCGGUGGAGUAUGUGGUUUAAUUCGAUGCAACGCGCAGAACCUUACCUGGCCUUGACAUCCACGGAACCCUGCAGAGAUGCGGGGGUGCCUUCGGGAACCGUGAGACAGGUGCUGCAUGGCCGUCGUCAGCUCGUGUCGUGAGAUGUUGGGUUAAGUCCCGCAACGAGCGCAACCCUUGUCCUUAGUUGCCAGCACGUAAAGGUGGGAACUAUAAGGAGACUGCCGGUGACAAACCGGAGGAAGGUGGGGAUGACGUCAAGUCAUCAUGGCCCUUACGGCCAGGGCUACACACGUACUACAAUGGUGGGGACAGAGGGUCGCGAGGCCGCGAGGCGGAGCCAAUCCCAGAAACCCCAUCCUAGUCCGGAUCGGAGUCUGCAACUCGACUCCGUGAAGUCGGAAUCGCUAGUAAUCGCGGAUCAGCAUUGCCGCGGUGAAUACGUUCCCGGGCCUUGUACACACCGCCCGUCACACCAUGGGAGUGGGUUGCACCAGAAGCAGGUAGUCUAACCGCAAGGGGGACGCUUGCCACGGUGUGAUUCAUGA